CCGGGAUUUUAUUGUGGAGCUGGCGGAGGCCGGAAUUGCCGGACUGCUGAAGGACGGCGGCGUGUUUAUUGCGGAAGUGCAGGAAGGCUGGGGAACCGGCAUGGAAGGCGCCGCGGAGUUUGACGGCCUGGACCUGGUGGAUACCCGCCGGUACGGGAAAAAUAUGCUGUUGUUCUAUCGAUUGCCUGAGAAGUAAGAUGAAAGCCUUCCUGUUCUCUUUCUGUUACAAUGUCCUGUACACCCUCGGGUGGCUGGUGACGCUGCCUUCCUACCUGCUCAAGCACCGCGCUCUACCAGAUUGAUGACAGCUGGGACGGCUUCCAGUGGAUUCAGGCGAACGACAGCGAUAACUCCAUCGUUGCGUUCCUGCGCACGGAUAAACGGGGCAACUCGCUCCUGUGCGUGACGAACUUCACGCCCGUGUUCCAUCCGCAGUACCGCAUUGGGCUGCCGCAGAUGGGUACGCUGACGGAGUGCUUCAACACCGACCGCAAGGAAUACGGCGGCUCGAAUCAGUACAACAACUGGGCGAUUCGCACGGAAGAAGAGCAGCUUCAGGAUUUCCAAUACAGCUGCGAUAUCUGCGUGCCGCCGCUCGCGACGGUCUACUUCACUCCGUUGAAAAGGCGGCGGAUGAAUUGUGGGUAGCGGAGAAAUUCCAAUCGAACUCGGAGAUAGCUGGUUCUCCCCGAAAUAGCUUUAGGGCUAGCCUCAUAUUAGAUACCCGGAGGUAAAGCACUGAAUGGCCUAGCGCCCGAGAGGGUAGCGAAGCCUAUCAAACUAAGAAUGCCGGAGUAUUGAUGUAUGGGAGUCAGACAGUGUGAGAUAAAUCUCAUUGUCAAAAGGGAAACAGCCCAGAUCUACAGCUAAGGUCCCAAAUUGUAUCUAAGUGGAAAACGAUGUGGAAAUACGCAGACAACCAGGAUGUUGGCUCAGAAGCAGCCACUCAUUUAAAGAGUGCGUAAUAGCUCACUGGUCGAGCGUCUCUGCGCGGAAAAUUUAACGGGGCUAAGAUACAAACCGAAGCUUAGGCUGCACGAAAGUGCGGGGUAGGGGAGCGUUGUGUAAGCGGAGAAACAGUAGCGUAAGCGGCUGUGGAGUUUACAGAAGUGAGAAUGCCGGAAUGAGUAGCGCGAAUGUGGUGAGAAUCCACAUGGCCGGAAACCUCAGGUUUUUGGAGGAAGGUUCGUCCGCUCCAAGUUAGGCGGGAGCUAAGGUCAGGCCGAAAGGCGUAGCCGAUGCACAGACGGUAGAGAUUCCGUCCCCACCGAAAGAUUUAAGCACAGGGACACUUUUUGAAGGUCGGAGCCAGGUGUUGGUUCUGGUAGUGAUCGAGGGAAAUAUAGUACCGAAGUCCGGCUGGAAGAGAGGCGAGAAAAGCUGUGUGUAUAUCUAAGGUGCCCGUACCGCAAACCGACACAGGUAGGUAGGAAGAAGAUUCUAAGGCCAACGGGAGAAGGGUUGUUAAGGAACUCGGCAAAUUGACCCCGUAACUUCGGGAGAAGGGGUGCUCCAGAGAUGGAGCCGCAGAGAAUCGGCCCAAGCAACUGUUUACCAAAAACACAGGUUUGUGCUAAAUCGAAAGAUGACGUAUACGAGCUGACGCCUGCCCGGUGCUGGAAGGUUAAGAGGAGAUGUGCAAGCAUUGAAUCGAAGCCCCAGUGAACGGCGGCCGUAACUAUAACGGUCCUAAGGUAGCGAAAUUCCUUGUCAGGUAAGUUCUGACCCG
rnacentral:rRNA from 1 species